CAUAGACAUCGAGGGCCAUCUGUAUUUGUUAUCAGUGAUAAAAGUUGAGCUUUCAACCAAACAUUAGAAUUUUGGAAAACAUGCACCUACCACCAAAAUCUUGACAGAUUCCCAGUACUUAGCCUUUGUUGAUGAAAUUGAUGGGAAAAUUAUUAGAAAUGAGAAAAAAGAAAAAUAUGUAACACCAGAAUAAAAGAAAUCAUUCUACAAAUCAUUACCAUAAAUUGAACAGGUGUUAAAAUUAGGAGACAAACUAUAUACCAGCAGAAGUGCUGACAUCCUUAGCCCCAGAUGAUUUUUUUCAAGGAUAUUUGUUUAGUGAAGAGCCUUAGAAGAUUGAGAUAGUGCCUUUCUCCAGAGCAAAGGGCAGUUUGUAUGUGUGUGGUUUUAUUUUGUUGUUGUUGUUUAUUGCCUAUUAUAAUAAACAUAGUGUCUUCCUUCAGUGCAGAAAACAGGGAAGUUUAUUGCUUAUUUUAGAAGAUUUGGGUUGCCUAAGCUCAGGUUUUAUGUUCUGUGCAGGACUACAGGAACCUGCUAGGUGUACAGGCAUCACUUCAAACCUCUUUGCAGAAUUAUGUGGGAAUUGGGACUCUGUGAACCAAUGCAAAUGCUGGUAGUCUGGCCACUGCUUUUGUUGUGAGUAAUAAAGACCUUUGUCUCUGACUUAGAGGUUUUAUGUCUUCUGAGAGCAUCCAUGAAAUUUUGGAAGGCUAAUUUGUUAGCUGUAAGUAGGAUAAAACCGUAAACCCUUUACAGUUGUUUACAGUGAUCAGAAUCCCAGAAUCUGAAAUCUUGAUGAAAAUAUGAUCAUGUAUGAGCAGUUAAAUAGAAUGCAAUUAUUUCUGCAUCAGUAAAACAAGUAGGUUUAGAGAAGUAAUUCCAGAGUCACUUGCAUCUAUAAAUCGUUCUAUG
rnacentral:lncRNA from 1 species